rnacentral:rRNA from 1 species
AACGAACGCUGGCGGCAUGCCUAACACAUGCAAGUCGAACGAGAUCUUCGGGUCUAGUGGCGCACGGGUGCGUAACGCGUGGGAAUCUGCCCUUUGGUUCGGAAUAACAGUUGGAAACGACUGCUAAUACCGGAUGAUGACGAAAGUCCAAAGAUUUAUCGCCAGAGGAUGAGCCCGCGUAGGAUUAGCUAGUUGGUGUGGUAAAGGCGCACCAAGGCGACGAUCCUUAGCUGGUCUGAGAGGAUGAUCAGCCACACUUGGACUGAGACACGGCCCAGACUCCUACGGGAGGCAGCAGUGGGGGGUAUUGGACAAUGGGCGAAAGCCUGAUCCAGCAAUGCCGCGUGAGUGAUGAAGGCCUUAGGGUUGUAAAGCUCUUUUACCCGGGAUGAUAAUGACAGUACCGGGAGAAUAAGCUCCGGCUAACUCCGUGCCAGCCGCCGCGGUAA